CAGGGGACUGGACUUGAUGACCUCUCGAGGUCCCUUCCAGUCCUAGAAUCUAUGAAUCUAUGAAUUUUUUAAAAGAUUGGAUCUUUAAAAAAAAUAGCUUAUUUGAGGUGUUAGAGAGUCUGAACAAUCUUUAGUUGUGCAAAAUCUGGAAACAAAAUAAUUUUGUGCAAAAAAAAAUCUGGAAAAUAAAAAUUGUAUGCAAAAAACCCCUGCUGGAUUACACAAAUAACUGGGUGCUUACUUUAAAUCCAUUGGGGAAGUCUUUGGACCAACUAUGGCUGUCAUGACACUACAGAUCUCAAAUCUAGGUAUGUAGGGUACCCAGUCAACAGUAUUUUAAAUGCAAAAUUUCUUAUUGAUAUAAAUAUUUCCCAAAUCCUAAUAAUAAAACUAAAAGGAUUAUGAGUAUAGUUAUAAGAAUCGCAUGGUCUGACCCAUCUUUGGGUGUUGCAUAAUGAGUGGGCAAAUAUCCCUACACUGACUCUUCAGUAAGUUACACUCCAUACAAACUUAUCUCAAUUCAUGGGAAAACUGUCCCCUCUCUGCCAUAGGUACAAAUGUCAGAAGGGCAUUUCACUGCAUAAUGCUUUGUAUUUGUUCUGAGGACUUUUCUCCCAGCAGUGGCACAUAGUGCAAUCUUUCAUAGCUCUGGCACUGUUAUUUAUUACAUGAGUCAUGCACAACUGAAAUAAACACAAAGGGCCAAAUUAAUCCUGGGCUGUGUUUGUGGAAGGAAACUUCCUCCAUCCCUGCUCAUGAAAUCUCUGGGACAACUAUAGUCUAUGCAACUAGGGCAAUGUGCGGAUUGCUCCUUUCAUUUGACUGGGUGGAAGAUGCAAAGCACCCAAAAGGGGGUGUAGGGAUGAGGCAGAGACAUGCCCAGUCCCCUCCAGUUCACACUGUCCUGCAAAGCAGCAUGUGGGAGCAGAAAAAGGAGCUCUACACCAUUCUUAGGGAGUCAGCGUGGACACUGCAUGCACACUGAGGAGUUGGGGGAGUGAUUGUCUCCCAAAGGUAUAAUCCUCUCAAAUUUUCCCAUGGGGUCGAAUGGCUUUCCACUGCCCUUUACAAAGGGCAAUUUGGCCGACAUCUUUUUUCCUGGAAAUUGGAACAUCCUGUAAAGAGGUCAAGUUGGCCGCAUCUAAGAGCAAAGGGGUGAAUGAUUUACUGGAAUUAAUCUUAAAUUGUUGGCAUUUGGUAUUCAAAUAUUAAUGUGGCUGAGCGGAAUGAGCUAACAUUGUGGUGGUGGUUUGCAGUGUGAGGCAUCACAUAAGUGAUUCUCACCACCAUGAGCCGAUGUUUGUUCUAUAUAAAGGCACUCCAAUAUCUGUACAGCCAGGCCAAAGGCUUAAUGCAGCACUGACCCAUGCACCACAGGCCACAGAACUCUACAUUUCAGUGGGGAAAGGAGGAGAAUGAGAAUCAAGAAGAUCUCUUCUUUCAGGUAAUAAUUAAGACACCAUAGGUGUAGCAAUUUAUUUUUCUUAGUGAGGAAUUUAAUUAACAUGAGGUACUGCAUAGCAGUCGUAAUGUGGAUCUGAAUCAAGUGCAUUCUCCCCGAAAAUAGAAGGGAUCUGGUAACUCACAGCAUUGCAGUAGAUGUGGAAUAUUUUCUUCUAAUAAGUCAAAUUAUUUUGUGCUAUGAAAUGGAAAACUCAUGAAAUGUGGGAGCAGUCUAGACUUCCAACUUGGGCAGUUCUGAAGCAGCAACAGCAGAGCUUGAAACUAGUUAAUCUUGCUCACUUUUUUAACUCUGCGAAGAAAUUCAUUGAUUAGGGAGGCAGUGUGUCUUAGAGGACUGAGCCCUAGCCUGGGGUUUCAGGUAGAACUAGGGUCUAUUCCUGGCUCUGCCAGUGUGCUGUUGGGUAACCUUAGACAAAUCACAUCCACUCUGUGUGCCUUAGUUUCCCCAUCUGUAAUGUAGGGGGAAUGAUACUUACAGGCUUUGUAAAGCACUUGGAGAUUUACAGAUGAAAGAUGCUAUAUAUUUAAAUAAAAACUGGUUACUACAUGCAUUUGUGGGAAGAAGUGGUACUCUUUGGGGUGCUGGAGAAAUGCAGGUUCAGCUUUGUGUCUUAGUGUGCAACCCAGGUGUGGAUUUACUGCAGAGGAUAAUGAAAUACAAUUAUUCAUUUUAGACUGAGUGCAAGGAUGCUGUACAGUAAUCAUGCCCAUAGUUAUUUCUCAAUCAUGCAAAAAUCCCCAUUCUCUUAUUAACCAUUCAGAAUGCAGGGAUUUGCAUGAAAGCUGCACAAUUAUCUCAUAACAAGCAGUAUGCAACAGCGAUUCUUGCUUCUCUUUCCACCCUCCAUCCCCUGUGCUAGUUUGAGUAACAACCCCACUGACUCUGAGGGGUCAUAGGGAAGGAUUCAGAUACAUAUGCACAUAUAAUUCAGCUUUUAAAUAAUUUUGAUGGGAAGACUAUUAUUGAGGGAGGACUUUUAAACUUAAUGGUGCUGUCUUAAAAACAAAAAGCACCUCCUGGUCUUGUGAUGGCAUGUGCCCUCCAUGCCAGACCUGAUACUUAAUGAGGGCCUGAGAGGCCAAUUAUGUUACCUGGUGUCACCUGAGAGAGGAAGAGCCAGAGUUAAUUGAGAAUGAAGCCCAACUGAGGAAGGGCUGGGCCAACACUAUGAAGCCAAGAGUCUGAAAGCCGAAGUGGGUUGUAGAGGGGAGAAGAGAGGUGGUUAAGUGCUAUAAGGCAGCCUGGGGGAAAGUAAGUGUCAGGAUUCUGCCGUGGAGUAAGGACUCUAGCAAGAAGCUAGGAGGGGGGGUGAAGUAGCCAUGGGGAGUAGAGUAGGCUUCUAUGGUAAACCAACAGUAGCUCUGAGAAGAUAGAGAAGCUGGGUAGGUAGGAGCCCAGGGAAACCAUAACAGGGACUGCGCAGAUGUGAUUGCUGGAUGUAGGGUCCCUGAGCUGGAACCUGGUGUAGUGCGCAGACCUGUAUGCUCUUGGAAAUUACUGGUAUAGUGGUGGGGAGCUUGUGGAGGGGCUCAACAUGGUCUGGAAACAGCAUUUGGACAGUUGUCCUGUUGAACUUUGUAACCCCAGAACAGUAGGCAAAAUGGUAACCUGGGUGUGGGGGGGUUAAGUUAACAGUAGAAAGCCUCUUGUAGAGUAAGCAAUGAGUAGUAAGGGGGCACACAAGACACAGCAAGAACUACAAUUCCUGAUGUAGACACAAGGAAGUAUGCUAGUGGUGAGUGUCUACUCCAUUAUAUUAAGCCCUCAUCCUAGGUCAGAAAAUAAUCCUUCCUAAGCAGUAGGGGGCCUGAGAGACCCAGGAGAAGAGCAAUUAAAGGGCUAGAAGAAGGGGAGCCCAAUUCAGUAAUAAUGAGGUUGCUGCCUGUCAACUCAGUAUGUUAACUGUUACACACAAACUACCUGAAAAGAAUGCUAUUAAGGUUGCAAAGCCAAGCCCUCUAAAGCUUGGAAAUGCCACAGUUAAGUUGCCUGUCUAACCUUGACUCAGCUCCCUUGUGCUUUGAACAUCUAAAGUGCUAUAUAAUGCUGAAUAGUUAGAAAAAUCAAGUCCUAGGUGCCUCAGCUUAGGCACUUUUAACCCUAAUCUUUUUGUGCCUCAGUUCCCCAGCUGUAAAAUGGAGAUAAUACUACCCUUUCAACUUCCAAGGAUGUGCAAAAAUAAUUUCAUUAACGUUUGUGCACUCAGAUACUAUAGUGAUUAGUGUCAUAGAAAAGCCCAUGAGGAAAUCAAUAAUUAUCUUUACAGCAGGGUUUGAAUGGUCUGAAGUAAAUAAGGCCCCACAUUGAAUAAUGAUGAUAGAACAAAAGACUGUUCAUUAAGUGAGCACCAUUCAACAUGUGUGCUGAAUGAGGGAAGGAUCCUGGGGGGAAAAUAGUAUGUGGUCAUGUACUUAUGAUAUGGUCUUAAAUGCAUGUACACAGGGGGCAGAAUGAAAGUUGCACAGGCAUUCUGCCAUUUGCUGAUCUAAUGCUCUUUUAACUUAGUUUUUGGUGGGAUCAUUAAGAGCACAGGAAAGGCUAGCUCUCUGCUCUCAGUUCAAGUGCCAGUUACCAGAUCCCUUCUAUUUUCGGGGACAAUACACUUGAUUCUCUCAGUUCAAGUGCCUGGACCCGGCACGGCCCACAGCAGCCCGGAGUGCAAUUACGGUGAAAGUCCUGUUCAGCCUCAAGUUGGAGCAUGCCCAAUGUGGGUGGAAUCUACAGGGAAGAUAGCUGCUAAAAUCAAAACCUCUACUUAGCAUGUGUGACCUGAUCUCCCUCCCCCAUUAGCCUUUUUGGGAGGGGGGGCAGAGACCGUAAAAGGCACAUCCCUGACACAUAGCUGACCCCCAACCCACCAAAUUUCAAGUCCCUGCUCUAAAGCAUGGGGAUGCUACAGCUUUUAAAAGAAAAGGUUUCCAGAAUUUAACAUGGACCAAAAAAUGCGUGUUUUCCUUAGCCUCAUUCUUGGGAAUGGUAAACUGUUUUCGAUGGAAAUUUUCCAAAACAAUUCUGCCUGAGGCAGACACCCAGCAUGUAAAUUUCAGCUUGAAUGGUUAAUAUUUGGUGAAGUUAUGUAAGCAACUGAAAACAUAGUGGCAAGUGUUGGGCAAACUUAAGCCAUGCUACCAGCCCCGCAUAUAAUAUCCUGCAUUGACAAAUCUCCUUGAGUUUCCUUCUGACUUAUAUAGCCCAACGUGUCUAGUUAUUGGGCCUGCUCCUGCUUCCAGUCAGAGUCGGUGGCAAAAUUCUUAUUGACUUUGGGCCCAGGAAGGGGUUCAUUCCCUUGUAAACCAGGAGCACUUAUGAGUUGUUAUCCAGUCACAUGGCUCCCUUUAGUGCUUGUCCAACUGGGAUAAAUGCAACAUUUUGCACUGUUGAAAAAACAUUAAACAAAAUUGUAUUUUUUUAACCAUUAAACAUAUGUUUUAAUAUAUUUGAAAACAGAGCUCUCCUUUGUCUUUAAAAAUAGAAGAUGGCUCUUACAGGAUGUAUGGUAAGCAGGGAGAAGAUAACUGUGUUUGACAUAGCAGUCUGUUUUCAGUGGCUUAACAAAGUUUGUGGUAAUUAAGGAAUGCAUAUGUUUUUUAGGUCAGCCAGAGUUCAGACGAUGAGGUAUGAAAAGAUACUGGAUGAGCACAUUUAUCCUUUUAUAUGAGAGAGAAGUUUUGGUAAACCAGUUUAUAGUGUAUGGCUUUUUAAAAAAUCAUAAUGUUUUAUUUAUAUCUAAUCCUCCAAAUCUGAUAAACCUAAUGAGUUUUUGGUAUUUUGAGAGCAUGGGAGUGACCAGGUAUUGUGGAAUUAUCUAGGUGUCAAGGAGUGGAAAUACUACAAGACAACAUAUAAUAAACAAAAGAUUAGACUUAAGUUUUAUCUUGAUGUGAUAAUGACCCUACUAUUAACUCCCAGAGAGGGUUUUCAUUUGGGUAGCUUGUCUUUCUUUUGAGACAUUUCUCCCUCUUUCUGGUGUCAGAGUUGGAUAUAACAGUAUGACAACUUGACUUCAUGGAAAGUCUUAAUGUAGACAUAUGUUGGUUUUCUCCAAACAAUUAGCAAUUGGUUGAUAGUUGCUAAUGGGUUUAAAAAGGCUGACUGAAAACUCUGAGUAUAUGAUUCCUUGGUAUUUGUUAAAGCACCUUGCUUCAUCUGUAUCAACAUAGUUUUCGAUCUACAAAAAAAUCUACAGGUUUAAUGAAUUCAGACUCUAUACUACUGUUUCAGUAAUUUGUGCCACAUGAAGACCUCAUUUUGGAAUUAAAGCAUGUGAUAACAGAGAAAUUAAGAGAUAUAGGUAAGGAGGGGGGAGAAGAGUAAUUAACCUCAGAGUUGAUAUCGCAGAGAUAAAGGAAGGCUUAUAUAGGUGAUAGGAAUAACUGAGAAGAAUGUUCUUGCCUGGAUGGGGUGAAAAUGGAUAUGCCAGAGAAAGCAGGUGCAAAUGGCUGGGUUGGAUGAACUAUAGAGAGAAGGCUUCAAAGGCAGGUUAGAUAAAAUUCCAUUGGGAGUAUUAUUUUUUCUUUAAGGUACUUCUGAAAUGAUUACUUAGUGGUGAUGUUGAAGGAUUAUCUCUCUAUUCUUUGCUGUAUAUCUGCAGCAUUCCAUAUGUGCUGAGACUUUGGGAAGACACUGAGGAGGUUCCUGCAGUAGUCAAAAGAAUAGGUGAUUGAAGGCUGAGAUGAGUAUUUUGCCAGAGAUGGAAAGAGGGCAUUGGUGUACAUGCAGAAGAAACAAUGAGCAAUUAAUCAUUGGAGGAGGAAAGAGUACAAGAACACCCAGGUUAUAGAAAGUGGACUUGGUUUGGAGGCUCAAGUCUAGAAGAGGGGUAGGGAUGUAACGUUGUGUGGUGAUGUGGGGAUGCUGACAUGGAGCUCAAAAGUUUAGAAGAAGCAACAAGCUUAUUUGCUCAAAACAGAGGGUGAGGAGCCAUUGAACAGAUAUCAAGGCUGCAACAAGCCUACAAUUUUGAAUACUGAAUACCAGCCCUGAAAUUCUAUCUGCUACAAAAUAUAGCUCCAGAUGAUAGUGUCAAGGCUUUUUGGGGGGGAGAGGGGGACAGGGAGGAUGGAUUAUUACAACAGUACUCUAAAAGUGAAAUCAGUAAACCUACACUACAUAUCAGUAAUUAGAAGUUAAAUCAAUAACCUUACAUAUGAUAGCAGUGUUUUGUAAGCUAUAACUGCACUACACAUCAUACUAAUCCUCUGAGAGCGCACAGAUUGGGACAUUCGUUAUGCCAUUUGUGGUAUCAGUAAAAUACAGCGUUCAGUUGCAUAUGCCUACUAAAGUAGACCAGUGAAUAAAUGUGUGAUUAAAAAGCAGACUUCUCUAUCACCCUUUAACAGUGGAAUGUGUGUAUUGGCAUGUUACUUUUCUUUCUUUAUAUGUGAUAAGAGUAAAUACAAAUUCUUUCAGCAUAGCUGAACAGCCUAUUUGAGCCUACUCUGAUGAGUGGCUGGACCUCUCAGGAUAGCAUAAUGAUAGGAGAAAGAGUAGGAGGGCUGAUGUCUGUUUCCACCAGUCUCUGGGGAAAUCUGUGACUACGAUCAAUGUAAAGAGUGCGUGUGCAGGCCUUCUCUCCAUUGAUUAUUGAAUGGAAAAUGAGAAUUGGGCUAUAUUCAUUCCCUGUGCUCAAUUGCACCUUUUACUAGCACAAACUGCUUCACUGGUACAAUGGAGAUGCAAUCCCAGGGGAAGCUGGCAAGGGUUUCCACUGCUGCCCUCCUUCCCUUCUUAUACCUGUAAAUGGGAAGCCUUGUUUUCCUGUAGAUGUUCCAUGGAGGCCUAGUAGUAAUGUAUAUUGAAUUAGUGUGCCUCCUGGCUACUAUUUUGUACCAAUAUAGGCCAUGUUUUGGGUGAACUGGUCACCUGCUGGGCUCCUUGUAAAAAGGAAGUGUCAACUACUUCUGUGCUGUCGGGUGGGCAGGACAUGUGGAGGACAUGAGUGGAUUUAGGCUUUGUCUACACUAGCACUUCUGUCAGAAGAACUUCUCGGUUAGGGGUGUGAGAAAAACACACCCCUGACUAACAUAAGUUUUCCCAACAAAAGUGCCAGUGCGGCCAGCGCUAUGUUGCGGGGAGACACUCUCCUACUGACCUAGCUACCACUGCUGGUUGGGAGUGGUUUAAUUAUGCCAGUUGGAGAGCUCUCUCCCACUGGCAUAGAGCAGCUACAUGGGAGACCAUAUAGUGGCGCAGCUGCAGCGGUACAGCUGUGCCACUGUAAGGUCCAGAGUGUAGACAUAGCCUUAGGCCUCUGUUUCUCUCUUCCUAGGUGCACAUGUUUUACGCCCCUUCCUGUGGGUCAGAUGCUGUUGCUCACACGUUCGUUCACUUUCUUGGUCUUUUCAGUUCUGGCUUUUCAGUGCAUAUUUUACUUUUGCUAACUUCCUUAUGGCAGUUUUUGUAGCAGCCCAGGAUAGGGUGACUGGAUGUUCUGAUUGCUAUAGGGACAAUCCUCAUAUUUGGGGCUUUGUCUUACAUAGGCACCUAUUACCCCCACCUCCGUUCCAAUUUUUUCACACUUGCUAUCUGGUCACCGUUGUCCAGGAUGACACUAAACUAGAGGUAUGUCUGCACUACAGCUGGGAGGUGUGAGUCCUACCAUGGGGUAGAUAGACUCAUACUAGCUCACCUCAAGCUAGUGGACUAAAAUAGCAGUUUGGUGGUUGUGACACAGGCUAGCUGCCUGACCUUGGUCCCACAGGGUUGCUUUGAUUUGGGUGAUUAGCCCAAGCUGCUGCUGGUGCCAGAACAUUCUCAUUGCUGUACUUAGCACACUAGCUCAAGCUGAGCUAGCACAGGUCUGUUUGCCUGUGCUGGGAAUUACACCUUCCACCUACAGUGUACGUGUGCCAGAACUGACUAGAUCUCAAAAUCUGUGAUCUGGAGCUCAGGCUGUGUAUCCUUUGCUUUUUCAGAGGAUGGCUGAAUCUAUCUGAAAUGUAUUUGAAAGACUUUACUCUCCUGGAUCUGUUAUCUGCCUAGUUAGAUAUACAGGUGUGGUCAGUUCUGUUUUGUAGGUUAACUUUUAGAAUGUCUCUGCAAGAUGCACAGAGAUGGAGUUAUUGGGCUGACACGUUUCCUUCUGGUAUGAAGAGUGGUGAAUAUUUUUUUAAACUGUUUAUUUUCUACCAUUAAUGGGCUGGGUAUGUACAGCCAUCAACUCACUUAGGAUAGUGUGACUUUUUUGUUUGGCAGCUUCUAGGCUGUAUGUUGUACCAUAGUUCUCUGAACUGUGUGUGGCUGAGGCUGGAUUGCUAUUCUAAACAUGCAGUACUCCCUUUGCUUAGUACCUAACCAUACUUCAGGGUUCCUGACUAUUGGGAUGUGGAUGUGAAGUAGCCAGACAUUACAUUAACUAAAAUACUAGGACAAACUUGUGUGUCUGAAAUUACAGUAGGCAUCCACUAUCUACAAUAAGAUUUAGUUGCUUUUUCAAAAGUGCUAAGCAUCUGUAGCUCCAUUUGAAGUCAACAGACCUUAUUGGUCCUAAGCACCUCUGAAUAAAUGUGCUACUCUUUUUAUUUAGGAGCCUAAAUCCAUAGGUACAUUCUUACCAUAAGUUAGGGCACUCAAUUAUGAAAACUUUGCUUUGUGGCAUGGGGCAUUUUAUACUAUUUGCUAGGCUAGAUUUGUGAAUAUAAUUGACAUACCUGUAUUCACCAACUACAUUUCCUUUCAUUUGCUGUACUUCAGAAAAAAUCUAAAUGGAGGCCUUUGAGUUGCUCUUGAAUACUUGGAAACCAUAUGUGGUUUGGCACUGUUUAAUUGAUUUUUUUUUUCAAAGGCAGUGAGUGGGUUUGUGUAAACAUGUCUCUGAAACUGGGUAUUUUGUUCAGCUGGUGAAAAACUUGUACAUCCUUUACAUCAAACCAUACGGUUAUUCAUGAUAAGAUGAGUGGGUGUGAUAAGAUGAGUGGGAGAAGGUAACUGUAGAUUUAAAAAAAAAAGGCAGGGGACCUCCUAGGAAGCAGUCACAUGGACUGUCUAUAAAGUAUCUUUAUGCAGAGAUAAGUUUAUCUAGAAACAGGAGAAGAACUGUGCCAGAAGAGGACUUGUCCCUCUUAGAUCGCCAUAGUUAGAAUAGAACUAAUGUAGGAAGAUGGAAUGGUGAUUCAUGUCAAAGGUUGAGGGAAAGGAAAAUUAGAUGGAAAGAGCCUUUUUUAAAGGCAGAGCUAUCUUCAAAGGCAGAAGUCAUAUGUGUGGAGAGGAGUAGCUUCCAUGACUGAGAGGAAACUGUUCAAGGAUAACUUCAUAUGAGAGUUGAUACUUUGAAAAAAGGUUAGAGAUGGGACAGUAGUUUGUGUGUAAAGGGCAAGUGGGUGGCUUGAAGGACUGGACAGUGGCAGAUUUUAGUGUUUAGAAAAAGUUACAAUUAAUGGUUAUAAUGUGAGACAGAAGGCUUAUUUGUAAUGUAGUAGCAUCUGUGAGGCCCAGAUCAUAUCGCCAUUGAGGUAGGUGUAUGGUCAUGUAACACAGUCCCUGCCCUGAAGAGUUUAUAAUCUAAGUACUAAGAGUCUGAAUAAAGUUUGGAACAUCCAUAUAGGAGAGAUGAGAAGUAGAAUAAGAGAGGGUGAGGAUGAAAGGAAUGGAAGUGUGUGCUAUCUUAAACGGUUACUUGAAAUUGGCAUUUUUGGUGCCCAUUUGGCUUAUUAGUUACAUAAUACAGAGUGAUUCAUAAAGGCCCAUGCGUAAAUAUUGAUGAUAUCAGACUUUUGGAAACUAAGUGUAAAUUUGGUCAUCCUAGUAUUCAGACACUUGCCAUAGAAGUCAUUUUGCAUUUCAUCUAGAUUGAAAUGCUAUCUAACUUUAAAGCUGCUUAGUCAAACAUCUGGUUUUUCUUUUUUCAUUGAGUAUUGUAAUGAGUCAGAUAUAUAUGCCAAAUACUCUGUUGUUUAGUUUGCUCUCCAUGUAACUUUGGAUUGCUGUUGACUGCUUUGUCACACUUGAUAACUGAACUUUACCUCAACCACUCCACUGGAAUGUGUUGGUGCAUUCAGAUUUCUUAGAGUCAAGCUGUAGGUUGUCCUCAGAUUCCAAUUUCAAAUCUCCAGUGCACUCUUUUAAAAAUAUGACCUCUAACUCAAGAGAUACAAGCACAAAAGGAUUCCAGGCAACAAUUGACCACUGAGGAACAGUCAAGACAAAGUCAUGUAAAUUGUUACACCUUUGACAACUUAUUGUACUGAAGUGAAGAGGUGUCAAUGAGGAUUGAGAUCUGGAUUCAUUUAAAGCCUUGCAUGUAGGCUAUGAGGAGUAGCAUUUCCUUGAACAGUGCUGAGGAAGUCUCUCUGAAGAUUCCCUCCCACACCUUCUUGAGCUGACCCAUAUCUUAGCUGGGCUUGAAGCCAAAGUUCUUGUCACUGAAGAAUGCUUUGCUAAAACCUCUCACUUCAUAGCAGUAUGGAGAGGGAGAGAAGUGUGUGGUGGUGUUGCUGCUGAAAUCUUAUCCCAAAGCAGAUUCAGAGGCAUUUGGGCAGCUAUGGCCAUGGCUGUUGUCGACUUAAAUUGUUGGGUGGGUAUUUUUGGGUGUGGGGAUAUAUAUUUACUGUGGCAUACAAUCAAACCCAUUGCCCUUUGAUUAGGUGUAUCUUGCACCCUAAUCUCCUCCCCCGAACUUAUUUCUCCCUUCACUUUUUCUGUCAUUUAAAGCUGGGAAAAUAUGUAGUGUUCUAUGUCACAUUACUAUACUUCGUAGCUUUGUGGAAAAGGAAGUUUUGCUGUCACCAUUGAGUGAAAUAUGCUGUAUAGUAUGACUGAGUGAUUACUUUAUUUUACAAUUGUAAAGAACCAAAACAUUCUUUGUGGAUGAAAAAAAUAAAAUAUUUUAAU